rnacentral:misc_RNA from 1 species
ACCGUAUAUGACGGCGAAGGCCAGUCCCAUGGCGACGCUCGUCACGUUUAUGAGGAUGACCAUCCCAAUCGCCGAGCCUAUGAGGCCGAUAAUCAUCGUGCGCCGGGCGCCGAUGCGCGCGUCGAGCACACCCUCGAUGAGCGCGCCGGCGCCGCCGAAGAUGGCGAGAAAACUGAUCACAAGAGCGGCCGCCUCAGGUGAGAGUCCCUUGUCGACGAGGUGCGGUAUCUGAUGCAGGUUGAUCGCUCCGCCCGCCCACUGCUGGAUCGCGAUGGACGCCGUGAUCAGCCAGAAGGCACGCGUGCGAAUGGCGUCAUGGCGCGUCCAGUCGACUUCGCGGGAAGCCCGCACCUCU